rnacentral:rRNA from 1 species
CUUGGUCAUUUAGAGGAAGUAAAAGUCGUAACAAGGUUUCCGUAGGUGAACCUGCGGAAGGAUCAUUAUUGAAAUUAUAGGUGAGGGUUGUAGCUGGCCUCUCGGGGCAUGUGCACGCCCGAGCCCUUAAUCCACACACACCUGUGAACCUAUUGUAAGGGCCCGUAAAAAAGGCCUUUACGUCUUAUCACCAACCCAUCGUAUGUCUCAUAGAAUGUAAAUAUAUGUCCUCGCCUUAAAAAGCGUUGAUAAACUUAUACAACUUUCAACAACGGAUCUCUUGGCUCUCGCAUCGAUGAAGAACGCAGCGAAAUGCGAUAAGUAAUGUGAAUUGCAGAUAUUCAGUGAAUCAUCGAAUCUUUGAACGCACCUUGCGCUCCUUGGUAUUCCGAGGAGCAUGCCUGUUUGAGUGUCAUUAAAUUCUCAAACUCCGAUCGAUUUGUUUCGACUUCGGGGCUUGGAUUUGGAGCGUGCUGGCGUCGGUCGGCUCCUCUUAAACGCAUCAGCGGAAUCUAACGUUCCGGACGUCAGUGUGAUAAUCACGUUGCGCUGUCUUUCGGUCCGAAAAGCCCGCUCACAAUGGUCUUCGGACAACUUCAUAUCAAAUUUGACCUCAAAUCAGGUAGGACUACCCGCUGAACUUAAGCAUAUCAAUAAGCGGAGGA